rnacentral:rRNA from 1 species
GAGUGUUCAAGCAGGCAGAUACAAAAUUUUCUGCCACCGAAUACAUUAGCAUGGGUAUAAUGGAAUAGGACCCUGUCCUCCUAUUUUCAGUUGGUUUCCACACAGCGAGGACUAGGGUAAUGAUUAAUAGGGAUAGUUGGGGGCAUUAAUAUUUAAUUGUCAGAGGUGAAAUUCUUGGAUUUAUGAAAGAUUAACUUCUGCGAAAGCAUCUGCCAAGGAUGUUUUCAUUAAUCAAGAACGAAAGUUAGGGGAUCGAAGACGAUCAGAUACCGUCGUAGUCUUAACCAUAAACGAUGCCGACCAGCGAUUAGGAGACGUUGAAUACAAAACACCGCCAUCGGCAUGUUUCUUUUUUUCUCAUUCGUGUGCGCCUCGUGUGCACAUGGAUUGGGGCAGAAGGGGGGCAUCCCGACUGGAUCACGGUGAAUGACUCCCUA